rnacentral:lncRNA from 1 species
GCUCAGGGCUCAUUACGGACUACCUCUCCCCCUGUACCUCUAACUCGAAUAAUCUUUAGUUCUGUGACGAAUUCCCGUUUUCCUUCCUCCAGCUAACCCAGUUAUUUCCGGGAAAUACUACAAGAUGUCUGUCUCAUAAAGUGAUGGUGGGAGGCCUAGUAGGCAAAGUGGAAGAGAAGCACAGGAGUCUGCAUGAAAGAAGCCUCAGUAGGAGAGUCAAUGGCACAGUAACAAAAUUCAUCAAGUUCCUCCUUACCUGUGUCAUCUGUGAGAGAAAUGUUGGUGAAGGUGCUGUCCUCCUCCUCAUCUUUGCUGGACCCGUCCAUCUUGUUUACUUGCCGGCCUGUUAGUGAGAAUAAUGAGGGCAGGGAAAACGGCUGCUCUCCCUUGUGAUCACCCUUGUUGAAUCAUUAAUAAAUGAGCAUUCACGCAGGUGGUAUCUGAUCCUUGCACAAGCCACCUUCUUCCUGCUUUCCGCCUGAGAGGUUCUUACCUGAGUCUUGCAGUCCUAACCGGAAAUAGUCAAAGACCCAAGUUAAAGUGUUAUAAACCUUUACCUGAAGCUGUUGAGUUAGCAUGACUGCUGUACCUGGCAAAAGGCCAAACCUUGCUUUCAGUCCAAUGACAGUCUGCCAGAGCUGAAUUGCCCAGGAACAUUGCCCAAAAAAGCACUGCAAUGAUGUUGGAGGAAGACAUUCAAUUGUAUUUGCUUAGCAUAUUUUGGGGACCCCUGCAAUAAACUUGUCAAGGAUUUUGGUCGGUGAUCUAGCAGCAUGACUUGGUCACAGAGCCUCAGUUUCCUGUCCUAUAUGAUGAUAAAUCUUUUGUAAGGAUUAAAAGUGAAUAGCAUGCACUUGUUAAAUGUCGG